ensembl:ncRNA lncRNA:CR45410 long non-coding RNA:CR45410
GUCUACAUACACACGUAUGUGUGUCUACACAUACAUGUGUAUAUAUAUCUACAUAUAUCCGCAUGGCCACAAUAGCUGGAAAGCCCGCAGGCUGUGGCGUUAAGACAACAACAACUGGAACACGAAAUGCUGUCAUCCGCAGUCAGUGGCAUUGUUAAAACUAGAAGCUGGCCAAGAAGAAGACCACAAUGCGAUGGAACAAUGGUGGAACAGCAGCCACAGCAAACCAACAUGCACUUGAAAUGCAAGUCAAGAGCAGUUGCAUACGAUCCGAGAGCCAGCCACCCCUUGAAGUAUGCAAUGGAUUUUGGAUUUGGGAUCGUAGCUGGAAAUCGCUUCCAUUGAACUCGAAAACCUUCACAAUUCGUAUUGCUUUCGUUUGUUGUUCUUUGCUAGCUAAAAGUAAGCAAAACAUCGAGGGAUUUGUGCCUUGUUUGUCGAUGAAAUUACUCGCAUGUUUAUUGGCUUUGUGGGCAACAAGCUAGCACAUAUGUAUGUGUCCGUUUGAAAGUAGCACAUGAGAAAAUAUAUAUCUACUCUUAUGUGCAGCUGUACAAAUUGGUUUAGCCUGGCCCCAGUUGAUAACCCAAUCAGAUAGCACCAUCAAUAUUUUGGCCAUCAAUUUAAUGGCAAACAAUUAAAUGAUAAGCAAUAAAUUACCUUUCCAAGGAAGCAUUUCUCUUGGCUGUGAAACUAUCGUUGCCCAACGUCAGUUUCCAUAAAUAUUUGCUGACUCAUGAGAAUAGCAUGGCGAUAAGAUAAAUUCAGUGUUAUGCAAUGCAAUCGACUGCAUUUGCUCAAAUGGCGUAAAAACUGAGCUGCAAUAUGAAUCUGAAGCCGGAACUGGCGCUGAUGACUCCUUGAAAUUCUAGCGAACAGAAAUCAAAUAUGCGCCCACAAGUAAACCAAGCGGCGGACAGAAAGCAAAGCAAAGAAUUCACGUUCCAUCCGGAGCAGCAGGAAAAUGGAAAAGCAGAAGGAAAAGCAAAUCGCGACCGGCAGCACACAGGCAGCAUAGGAAUGAAGGCCCGCCCGCAGGACACACGGGAGAAAAGCACGCUUCAAGUUAUUUUUUCACCAUGAAAUCUCUAAGGAACUCCCAGUCGACUUUUGCACACCAUGCACAAGAAGAAAAUCUUGAUUAAAAUGUAUUGUACAAGUAAUUGGUUAUUUAAAUGGUUU